CAGAUGCUGAGGAGUCAGAAUCUCCACCUAAAGUCAGAGCUGGUGAUGCUGAAGAAGACGUGAAUGACUCCCAAACAGGCGAGCAAGAGACCAAGGAGGGUGUUGGGGCAGCAGAUCGUGUGUCUAAGGGUCGCAGGGAGCUGAUCAACAGGAUUGGUGAGGCCUCUCUCAAAGCUGCUCUGGACGGCCUUCAGACAGAGAUCUCUGGUAGAUCUGCUGUGAUUACGCGUUAUGAGUCAAACACGGUUUU